CCUACUUACAACCAGAUGAGGAUGAUGAUGGGCUCUAGCUGCAGUCUGGCUCCACUGGUCUGGUGCAGAACAGGCUCUCUGGAGGCGGUUUGUAACUGUGGUCACAAAAAUCAAUGUUCUGGGAGAACGGGAAGCAGCUCCAUUUUUGGGGGGUCCUUUACACAGCUCAAGGUCUGGGUCCCAGGGUCCACCUUCAUGUUCCACCAAUGAGUUUGUUCACAGGGGGUGGAGUGUGUAGGGGAUGUCCUGAUAUGUGUGUAAGGAAUGCAUUGUGUGAAAUUGUGUUUGUAUGUGUAAGGGCUGCAAGGUGUGUUUCUGUGUAUGUAUGGG